rnacentral:rRNA from 1 species
UACGAAGGGUGCAAGCGUUAUUCGGAAUUACUGGGCGUAAAGCGUGCGUAGGUGGUUGUUUAAGUCUGCUGUGAAAGCCCUGGGCUCAACCUGGGAAUUGCAGUGGAUACUGGGCGACUAGAGUGUGGUAGAGGAUAGUGGAAUUUCCGGUGUAGCAGUGAAAUGCGUAGAGAUCGGAAGGAACAUCUGUGGCGAAGGCGACUAUCUGGGCCAACACUGACACUGAGGCACGAAAGCGUGGGGAGCAAACAGG